GGCUGAAUACAAUAAGGUUAUGAAUGGCUGAAUACAAUAAGGUUAUGAAUGGCUGAAUACAAUAAGGUUAUGAAUGGCUGAAUACAAUAAGGUUAGGAAUGGCUGAAUACAAUAAGGUUAGGAAUGGCUGAAUACAAUAAGAUUAUGAAUGGCUGAAUACAGUAAGGCCAUGAAUGGCUGAAUACAAUACGAUUAUGAAUGGCUGAAUACAAUAAGGUUAUGAAUGGCUGAAUACAAUAAGGUCAUGAAUGGCUGAAUACAAUAAGGUUAUGAAUGGCUGAAUACAAUAAGGUCAUGAAUGGCUGAAUACAAUAAGGCCAUGAAUGGCUGAAUACAAUAAGGUUAUGAAUGGCUGAAUACAAUAAGGUCAUGAAUGGCUGAAUACAAUAAGGUCAUGAAUGGCUGAAUACAGUAAGGUCAUGAAUGGCUGAAUACAAUAAGGUUAUGAAUGGCUGAAUACAAUAAGGUUAUGAAUGGCUGAAUACAAUAAGGUCAUGAAUGGCUGAAUACAAUAAGGUUAUGAAUGGCUGAAUACAAUAAGGUUAUGAAUGGCUGAAUACAAUAAGGUCAUGAAUGGCUGAAUACAAUAAGGUUAUGAAUGGCUGAAUACAAUAAGGUUAUGAAUGGCUGAAUACAAUAAGGUCAUGAAUGGCUGAAUACAAUAAGGUCAUGAAUGGCUGAAUACAAUAAGGUCAUGAAUGGCUGAAUACAAUAAGGUUAUGAAUGGCUGAAUACAAUAAGGUUAUGAAUGGCUGAAUACAAUAAGGUCAUGAAUGGCUGAAUACAAUAAGGUCAUGAAUGGCUGAAUACAAUAAGGUUAUGAAUGGCUGAAUACAAUAAGGUUAUGAAUGGCUGAAUACAAUAAGGUUAUGAAAGGCUGAAUACAAUAAGGUUAUGAAUGGCUGAAUACAAUAAGGUCAUGAAUGGCUGAAUACAAUAAGGUUAUGAAUGGCUGAAUACAAUAAGGUUAUGAAUGGCUGAAUACAAUAAGGUCAUGAAUGGCUGAAUACAAUAAGGUUAUGAAUGGCUGAAUACAAUAAGGUUAUGAAUGGCUGAAUACAAUAAGGUCAUGAAUGGCUGAAUACAAUAAGGUUAUGAAUGGCUGAAUACAAUAAGGUUAUGAAUGGCUGAAUACAAUAAGGUUAUGAAUGGCUGAAUACAAU